rnacentral:lncRNA from 7 species
UUCCUUCUGUGUAGAGGGGAGAAGAGUUGACGGCUACAAUGUCAAAAGGCAGUGAGAUGCCAGAAGACGUAACCCUGUCUCUUCCCAUUAACUCCAUGAUGGUCUUCUCUGUAUCCCCUGCUGACAAAAUGAAUUCAUUUGUAUUCUUGCAAGAGGACAUGACAAAAAGAGAGGAAAGGGGAAUUAAUGAAGGCUUCUCUGAGAGCUGCUGCUGCAUGGGCAGAGAGCGAGUUGCCGUCUGGGAUGCGGUGGCCGCCUACGUACAGGAGCACCUCCUGGUGCAGAAGGGGGUCUGGAUUCCCACCUUCGGCUCAUUCGACACCAUCUCUAAAGACAUCAGGACUGCGGACGGGACCGUGACUCUGCGGUGGCCCGUGUUUCAGCUGGCCAGGAACCUCAGAGCCAUGCACCACCUCGGGUCCGACAAGGACUCCCUGCCAGGUAGGAGCGGGAUUGAACCCUUGCAGGCUUCACGGACGGGGCAAAGAAGGCCACCGCCUCCCUUCUCAGAAGGAGACCUCCCUCCCCCUCCGAGGUGGGGGCCGUGCUGGCUGAUGGCCGCAAGAAGCACUUGUAGGGAAGCAAGCAAGCGCCUGUGGAAAAGCGACUGCAGGAUCAACUCUGUCCCUCGCAUUUUUCAGCCCACAGGGAGGUGGAGACCCUGAAAUACAGCGAGGUGGCUGCCGCUGCCUCUGUGACCUGGCAGAGAGGGAAGACCUGC